UACGUAGGGGGCAAGCGUUAUCCGGAUUUACUGGGCGUAAAGGGCGCGUAGGCGGCCACCGCAAGUCGGUUGUGAAAUCUCUGGGCUUAACCCAGAAAGGUCAACCGAUACUGCGGGGCUAGAGUGCAGAAGGGGCAACUGGAAUUCUCGGUGUAGCGGUGAAAUGCGUAGAUAUCGAGAGGAACACCUGCGGCGAAGGCGGGUUGCUGGGCUGACACUGACGCUGAAGCGCGAAAGCUAGGGGAGCGAACGGG
rnacentral:rRNA from 1 species